rfam:Sarcophilus harrisii ctg7180002475402, whole genome shotgun sequence.
CCAAAGGCUCUUUUAAGAGCCACAUAUAUUCUCAAUGGGGGCUGU